rnacentral:rRNA from 1 species
UACGAAGGGGGCUAGCGUUGUUCGGAAUUACUGGGCGUAAAGCGCACGUAGGCGGAUUUGUAAGUCAGGGGUGAAAUCCCGGGGCUCAACCUCGGAACUGCCUUUGAUACUGCAAAUCUCGAGUCCGGAAGAGGUGAGUGGAAUUCCUAGUGUAGGGGUGAAAAUUCGUAGAUAUUAGGAAGAACACCAGUGGCGAAGGCGGCUCACUGGUCCGGUACUGACGCUGAGGUGCGAAAGCGUGGGGAGCAAACAGG